GAUCAUGGCUCAGGAUGAACGCUAGCUACAGGCUUAACACAUGCAAGUCGAGGGGCAGCAUGUUGGUUGCUUGCAACCAAUGAUGGCGACCGGCGCACGGGUGAGUAACGCGUGAGUAACCUGCCCUGGAGUGGGGGACAACAGUUGGAAACGACUGCUAAUACCGCAUAAGCCCACGGAUUCGCAUGGAUCUGCGGGAAAAGGAUUUAUUCGCUCUAGGAUGG
rnacentral:rRNA from 1 species